rnacentral:tRNA from 1 species
GGCUGGACAGAUGGCUCAGCGGUUAAGAGCACUGACUGCUGCUCUUCCAGAGGUCCUGAGUUCAAUUCCCAGCAACCA